CAGUGUGGAUGACCUGUAGCUGUUU
rnacentral:piRNA from 1 species